rnacentral:tRNA from 1 species
UGAUUAAUAGUUUAUAAUAAAAUAUUUAAUUUGCAUUUAAAUGAUAAUAUAAUUUAAUAUUAUUUUAAUUAU